GUUGAACGCUAGCGGCAGGCUUAACACAUGCAAGUCGAGGGGCAGCAUAAAUAGUAGCAAUACUAUUGGUGGCGACCGGCGGACGGGUGCGUAACGCGUAUACAACCUUCCCUAAACAGGGGGAUAAUCUGGAGAAAUUCGGUCUAAUACCCCAUAACAUCAGAGCAGGCAUCUGUUUUGGUUAAAAUUUCCGGAGGUUUAGGAUGGGUAUGCGUAGCAUUAGCUAGUUGGUGAGGUAACGGCUCGCCAAGGCGACGAUGCUUAGGGGGACUGAGAGGUUAACCCCCCACACUGGUACUGAGACACGGACCAGACUCCUACGGGAGGCAGCAGUGAGGAAUAUUGGUCAAUGGGCGGAAGCCUGAACCAGCCAUGCCGCGUGCAGGAUGACGGCUCUAUGAGUUGUAAACUGCUUUUGUACGAGGGUAAAGUGGGCUACGUGUAGCCUUUUGAAAGUAACGUACGAAUAAGGAUCGGCUAACUCCGUGCCAGCCGCCGCCGUAA
rnacentral:rRNA from 1 species